GAUGGCCUGAAGGUGUUCACAUUGUUAGCGACUCACAUUUUCAUCCAGAGACUGGUCUCUAAACUCCCGGUUUAACCCCCACCCAGUCCAUUUUUUCCAAGACACACAAAGAAGAACAGAGUAAGAUUCAAGUCAAAAUUGUUUUGUCACUCACAUAUUUAAUAUAAAAAGAAAUGCAGCAAAUGGCUCAGUAUCCUAUUUUUAAAAAAUCCAGGUUGUGCAGGCUGUUCUAUUUACAUCUGGGAGAAGAGCUGUUCCCACAUCAGGCACAGCAGCUGCACUUCUCCGAUGCCCCUUUGCAGACGCAGCCCUGGGCACACUUGGCACAGCCCACGGGGCAGCAGGAACAGCAGCCUGGGGAAGAAGGGGAGAGUGAGAGGUGGCAGCUGACUUGACCAGGCACCUCCCUGCCCUAAUAGCAAGCCUGGCUCGAGCUCAGAACCCAGACUCAGAGGAUGCUUUUUUCGUCUGGCACAGCUCUGUUCAGAAACCAUAGGGGGUACAGUUGGGGUUUGUGUUCCACGACAAAAAUUCUGUCCUGCCCCAUCUGAAUUUAGGGCAGAAAGCCUGGAGAGGGAAUGACACGGGCAAUGAGGGCAAAGAAAGCCCAGUUCCCCAGAAGGAUGCACUCAGGGCUAGCCUUGAGUUCCCUCCCAACCUUAGCCACAGCCCCAGAUUCCUGGAGAUGGCCCCGCACUCACUCUUCUUGCAGGAGGUGCAUUUGCACUCUUUGCACUUGCAGGAGCCGGCGCACGUGCAGGAGCCACCUACAAGGAAGAGAAAAACGCAGUGGGCAGUGAGUGAGAGGAAGAAGGUACAGCAGUGGUCAAUGAGUCUCCAGUGCCCCCUCCUCUGUGCAGGGCCAGCCCUCAGAGCUCCUUUCCCACUCAGGACAGAGGAACAGAAGCCCCAUGUCCUCUCCACUAACGCUGGGAAGGGCAAGGACCCUCCUGUUUUACCGCACCAGGAAGGUCCCACGUGCACAUACAACCCGGGAAUAUUGAGACUGCGAGCCAGAACCUUCUGUCCUGAACUCUGAAGAGUCAAUGUUUCCAGCACCCCCAACCCCACUGAUUGCUCAGAGCCUGGACAGAGCACUGGGGCCCAGCCAGCAGGCCCACGACCAACUGGGUGAUGUGGAGCAGUUCAGCCUUGAGCCUCUGUAUUCUUAACUCUGACGUAGAGGCCCAGGGAUGAGGGCAAUGCUCUCAGAGGCGUGAUCAGGAAGAAAGCAUCUAACGAAGUACUGGAGUCCCCGUCGCUCAGAACUUAAAAUGCAACUUCCUGAAGCCCAGAGACCCUCUGUAAUAGGGCUGGGAAAUGGGGAUUCCAGGGCGCAGAGCUUCCCUUACCAGUGGCGCAGGAGCAGUUGGGGUCCAUUUCGAGCAAAGGGGAUGCUGGAGCUCCCACCAGUGAGGCGAACAAGCAGUCAGGCAGUUGGAAAGCGGAA
rnacentral:lncRNA from 1 species